rnacentral:lncRNA from 1 species
AAGUUGGACAAGACAGCACUUCAGAUCUGAAGGAACCAACAAUGGACACCAGGCCUUUAUUAUGUCAAAAGAAAAGAGAAGCUCUUUUUUUUAGCUUGGUUCACAGCUCAUCAGGAUGCUCAUUCCCAGAACCCCUGAGCUUAGACUUGGUGGAAAGUAGGGUCUCAGGUUUCAUCAGUGACAGCCUGGUAUCACCCAAAGUUCUGGAGACAAGUUUGGUCACUGUGAGAAGAUCUUCCUACACCUGCAAGUAGCAGGGAGAAGGCUGUGACACCAGCUUUAGAAAAGAUUCAGGAAAUGAUGCAAGUUAAUUUCUGUUUGAAAUGCUCAGAAAUAUGGCACCUUGGAAAAGGAAAUUUUCCAGAUCUGAGACUGGUCUAUGUAUAUGACUACUCAUACUUUUGUCUGACUCAAAAUACAGGUGAGAGUUUCUUUGAAAAGUGAUUAAAAACAUAUAUUUUACUUUUUAAAUGGCAAAACCAUGCUCAGAAUCAUUCCAAUUCUUCUCAUACUUAAAUGAAACGCCCACGUAACAGACCAUCCCAUCCACUAUUUUAAUGAGUUCUAAAUCUGUCAAGAAUUGUCAACAUUCAUCAGUGUGGAUAUUUUGAGGACUUGUAGGUGCAAAAGAAGUUAAUUUUUUUUAGACAAAAGCAGUAUUAAUAAUACAACAUAAUUUGUAAACAUUGACUGGUACUCAUUAUCAGAAAGGGUAGCUGGAAAAAAAAAUCAUUUUAUAUUUCAAUCUUCCGGACACUGGUAGAAUCCAGACCAGUGCAAAAUAAUGAGCUUGCUUACUGUUGCUGUGUGGGAAAAGAGAAGAGGAGCUAGAGGUGAGACUGCAGGAAUAAAACAGACUAAGUAGGCA